UUAUGGAUGUACCGGUAUGUUAUAUUGUCUUUAUAUUCCAGCGAGUUAAUCCAUUUUGGGGGGAGUUGAGGGGAUAAUUUAAUUAUGAUGCGUUCAAGAGUCUAACGGCUUGAGGGAAGAAGCUGUUACAGAACCUGGAGGUUCUGCUUCGGAGGCUGUGGAACCUCUUUCUAGAGUCCAGCAGUGAAAACAGUCCUUGGUGGGGGGUGGGAGGAGUCUUUGCAGAUUUUCUGAGCCCUGGUCAGGCAGCGGCUUUUUGCGAUCUCCUAGUUGAAGCUGUAAUAGCUGCAAAAGGUGGACCGACAUCAUAUUGAACCCUGUGGGUUAGGAAUGGGAUGGCACUUCAAGUUCAUAUGUGAGUCAAGGCAGGUGGCCAAAUACUUUUGGCAAUAUAGUGUAGCUUACAUGCUGCAAGCUGGAAGAGGGCAGGAUAUAAUGCUAGCAACACGUUGGAAAGUUGCAAACAUCCCGUUUAAUUUCACAAACUUUUGAAUGCAUGUUUGAUUGUUCAAUGUUUCAUAACUUGCUUUUUUCAACAAGGAACUAAACAACAAAAUUCGCAACAGGUGUUUGUUUCAUCAGUCGACCAAUACAUUACCUGGUUGAAAUAGAUCCCUGUUACAAGAAACAUUGAAAAGUUGGACAUCUGUCUUUUUUUACCUGUAAGAUUAUAGUUUAUUAUUCCCCAAGUCAAGGGCUGGGGGCCAGAUCUUGCCCGCCACGGGUCCGCCACAUUAUUUGAUGUAGUCUGCCACAUUAUUUCAUAUGGCCAUGUCAUUCUUGUGGCCUCUGAAAGGCUGGACAUAGUUAAUGUAACCCAUAUUCUAAAUCAGUGGUUCUCAACCUUUGUUCAGUGAUGUACCCCCUGUGAACAUUUUUUUAGUUCAAGUACCCCCUAAUCAGAGCAAAGCAUUUUUGGUUGAAAAAAAGAGAUACAGAAGUAAAAUACAGCACUAUGUCAUCAGUUUCUGAUUUAUUAAAUUGUAUAACAGUGCAAAAUAUUGCUAAUUUGUAGUGGUCUUUCUUGAACUAUUUGGAAACAAAUAUAAAAAUAACUAAAAACUUGUUGAAAAAUAAACAAGUGAUUAAAUUAUAAAUAAAGAUUUCUACACAUAGAAGUAAUCAUCAACUUAAAGUGCCCUAUUUGGGGAUUGUAAUAGAGAUCCAUCUGGAUUGAUGAACUUAAUUCUAAACAUUUCUUCAAAAAAAAAGAAGAAAUCUUUAACAUCAAUAUUUAUGGAACAUGUCCACAAAAAACCUAGCUGUCAACACUGAAUAUUGCAUUGUUGCAUUGUAAUGAAUGGAAUAGCCUACUUGAUUUGAUGUUCAGUUUAUGAACUUACAUUCAUAUUUUGUUGAAGUAUUAUUCAAUAAAUAUAUUUAUAAAGGAUUUUUGAAUUGUUGCUAUUUUUAGAAUAUUAAAAAAAAAAUCUCACGUACCCCUUGGCAUACCUUCAAGUACCCCCAGGGGUACGCGUACCCCCAUUUGAGAACCACUGUUCUAAAUACCCAUUAAAAACAUGCAUACAGUGCAAAGACUUUUAUUGUGGAGGGUUGCUUCCUGCCGCUCACUUCCUUAGUGCUGCUCACUUCACCACCCCCUCCCGUACCUGCUGUGCUGUGAGACGCGCUUGAGAAGAAACUCGCAAAAUCUUCUCAUUCUCCCACUUUGCAAACUUCAUAAUUAGAGCCUCCCUGUUCGAUUGACUAUCGGGGCGUGCAUGGGAUGUUGUUUUGCCCUCGAUUACUCAGGUCAGGUUUUUUUUCCGGGAAGGAAUACCCGUUGACCCAAACAACCUGAGCUCCCUAUCCAUCUUCAAACUCAAUUCAACAAAUGGCGAGCUAAACAACUACGCGCGUUUCAGGAGUAGAAGAGAAAGCUGUAGCUGAUCCUCAAGUAGACGACUGUGGCUUCCAAGAAGUAAAACAGGCUGGCAAUUGUUUUCCUUAGAGGACGCCGGGAAGCGUGUCUGGUAACACUCAUUAGUCAUUUUUCUUUUACGGCGCAGAUGGGGUUGGCAGCAUAAACGUUAGUCGGAACAAAAAAUGUAGACUAAGCCAGAGAGGUUGACGGUGAUGAAUUCAUGUCACAGGGCUAUUCUGAAGAAGAGCCUAGAUUUUAGUAAUAAGUGCAUUCUUAACUGCAGGCAGCAAUAACAGAAUACGUAUUUGAAUUCAACUAACUUUCUCUGAUCGAUAAUUUUAAUGGAAAAUCUUUCUCUGAAUAGUCUCAACCUAUGUUUCCAUGCUGGUGUCCUAUUGAGUUUGCAGUGACUGAGACGUGAGUGAUCGUCUGCUUCUAGGACCUGUGCAAAUUGGUA